GAUGUUAGCUCAGGGCCAGUCUUCCUCAGCAAAAAGAGGAGGAUUGGUAGCAGAUGUUAGCUCAGGGCUAAUCUUCCUCAAAAAAAUAAAUAAAUAAAUCAAGAUCUGGGUGACAAAUAUGCUCAUUGUUACUCUGGGGUGCCUUUGCUUCUCAGCUGAAAGAGAAAGAAACUAUAUGUGCGUAUACUAAGCCAUGUAUCUACAUAUAUCCAUAAAUAUUUCUAUAUGUAACCAUUUGUAUCUAUGUUAAGCAAAACAGGAGUUCAUACAGAUGUCUCUAACUCUAAUUCAUUACCACAUUGAUCAUUCCAACCACCUUCUCUUGCUUCAACUGUGAGAAGCCUGGCUCCGACCAUCCACCACCCCUUUCCUUAAUUGUUCAGUUCCAGUAUACACGUAUAGCAGUAUCUGAACGUUUGCUAACCUGUACCCCUGUGGGAGGCAACCUUAUCAACUAGGGUUUUCUAGAAAGUCUGGAAGACAUUAUUCUGGAUGGCCAUGAGCCUGAUAUCAUGCAACAGCUCUGGUGCUGAGCAGGAAGGGGCAAAUUGAUAAGGGAAGACGGUUAACGGUCUCUACCAUGGAAUGCAUUUCAGUGGCAGCUCAGGGAAGAGAAAAAUACAGUGGUUUAUUUUGAAUUUUAGCUGAAUUUCUAUGAAAAGGUAGGUUGUUUUCUUCCUCAGACUGCAACUUUUUGACACAACGCUCGUUUCCUUAUUUUGCCGUAGCACGAGUCCCAUCUUCUUUCAGCCUCCAAAGCCGUCAGUCGUCCUGGACAGAAGUCAGAGGAGCAACCUUAUUGGGUACAUCAUAAACUGUGAGAAGCCUGUGGAGCAGUUUUUGGAUCGAUCGCCCUCUGGUGGCACUUCAAGGAACUAACUUCUUGUACAGCUUGCGAGUCUUCGUUAAGGAGGACAUCUACCUGGCGCUGCUGCUGUGAAAAUCUCAGCGGAAUGCAUCUCUCUCUCUUCCUAACUGAAUACGCAUGACUUCUGCAAUCACAGAAAAGCUAUAAUUUUCAAAACAAUUUGAUGAGUUUCUGAUACAAUAUAAGGACAUUACAAAGCUGAACAAAAUUACAAAUAGAAAUUAUACUUGUUUUUAAAACACAAUCUAUUUCUAAUGUUUACUUUGUUUUCCUUAUUUCUCAACCCACCUCAGUUGAAUUACGAUAACCUUCAAAUGAGUCAUUUAUGAUUCAAAUGGUAAAUAAAUAUCUAAAGUUCUUUAUAAUAGAAAAUCCA
rnacentral:lncRNA from 1 species